rnacentral:rRNA from 1 species
UACGUAGGGGGCGAGCGUUGUCCGGAAUCAUUGGGCGUAAAGCGCGUGUAGGCGGCCCGGUAAGUCCGCUGUGAAAGUCCAGGGCUCAACCCUGGGAUGCCGGUGGAUACUGUCGGGCUCGAGUCCGGAAGAGGCGAGUGGAAUUCCUGGUGUAGCGGUGAAAUGCGCAGAUAUCAGGAGGAACACCUAUGGCGAAGGCAGCUCGCUGGGACGUUACUGACGCUGAGACGCGAAAGCGUGGGGAGCAAACAGG